GCGAGCGUGGCGGAACUGGCAGACGCGCCGGGUUUAGGUCCCGGUCUCGAAAGAGGUGGGAGUUCGAGUCUCCCCGCUCGCA
rnacentral:tRNA from 1 species